CGGGAAAUAGCUCAGCUUGGUAGAGCACUUGGUUUGGGACCAAGGGGUCGUAGGUUCGAAUCCUGUUUUCCCGA
rnacentral:tRNA from 1 species